CACACGACUCUCGGCAACGGAUAUCUCGGCUCUCGCAUCGAUGAAGAACGUAGCGAAAUGCGAUACCUGGUGUGAAUUGCAGAAUCCCGCGAACCAUCGAGUCUUUGAACGCAAGUUGCGCCCGAGGCCACUCGGCCGAGGGCACGCCUGCCUGGGUGUCACGC
rnacentral:rRNA from 1 species